rnacentral:rRNA from 1 species
GACGAACGCUGGCGGCGUGCUUAACACAUGCAAGUCGAACGGAAAGGCCUGCUUUCCCUUGUGGAUUGCGGGUACUCGAGUGGCGAACGGGUGAGUAACACGUGAGUGAUCUGCCCCCAACUUGGGUAUAAGCCUGGGAAACUGGGUCUAAUUCCCGAUAGGACUGCAGGGUGGUGCCUGUGGUGGAAAACGAUUUUCUAGUGGUUGGGGAUGAGCUCGCGGCCUAUCAGCUUGUUGGUGGGUAAUGGCCUACCAAGGCGGCGACGGGUAGCCGGCCUGAGAGGGUGGACGGCCACAUUGGGACUGAGAUACGGCCCAGACUCCUACGGGAGGCAGCAGUGGGGAAGAUUGCACAAUGGGCGGAAGCCUGAUGCAGCGACGCCGCGUGGGGGAUGACGGCCUUCGGGUUGUAAACUCCUUUCGACCGCGAGGAAGCCACCUGGUUGGAAGGGUGGUGACGGUAGUGGUAGAAGAAGCACCGGCUAACUACGUG